UUGGGAUUUUGGGGGGAAUUUUGGGUUUUUUUGGGGGUGACACCUCCUGUCCCAUCCCCUCACAAGGUUCCCAUUGGCCAAUUGGCACUUUGGGAUUUUGGGGGGUUUUGGGGGGAUUUUGGGUUAUAAAACCCCAAAACCUCCUCCCCUCCCAGGUUCCCAUUGGCCAGCUGGAUUUUGGGAUUUUGGGGGGAUUUUGGGUUAUAAAACCCCAAAACCUCCUCCUCUCCUGGGUUCCCAUUGGCCAAUAGCGAUUUUGGGAUUUUGGGGGGAUUUUGGGUUAUAAACCCCAAACUUCCUCCCUUCCCAGGUUCCCAUUGGUCAGUAGCGAUUUUGGGAUUUUGGGGGGGAUUUUGGGGGGGAUUUUGGGGGGCUUAUUUUGGGUUAUAAAACCCCAAAACCUCCACCCUUCCCAGGUUCCCAUUGGCCAAUUGGGAUUUUGGGGGG
rnacentral:lncRNA from 1 species